GCUCAGAACGAACGCUGGCGGCGUGGUUGAUACAUGCAAGUCGAACGGGAACGUACCCUUCGGGGUACUAGUACAGUGGCGGACGGGUGAGUAACACGUGGUCAACGUACCUCCGGGACCGGGAUAGCCAUCCGAAAGGGUGGGUAAUACCGGAUAAGACCACGACGUCGCAUGGCGUCGGGGUCAAAGUUUUUCGCCCGGAGAGCGGACCGCGGCCCAUCAGCUUGUUGGUGAGGUAACGGCUCACCAAGGCGACGACGGGUAGCCGACCUGAGAGGGUGGCCGGCCACACUGGGACUGAGACACGGCCCAGACUCCUACGGGAGGCAGCAGUGCUGAAUCAUUCACAAUGGGCGAAAGCCUGAUGAUGCGACGCCGCGUGCGGGAUGAAGGCCUUCUGGGUUGUAAACCGCUGUCAGGACUUAGGAAGAUCUGACCAAGUCCAAAGGAAGCACCGGCUAAAUUCGUGCCAGCAGCCGCGGUAAUACGAAUGGUGCAAGCGUUGUUCGGAAUCACUGGGCAUAAAGGGUGCGUAGGCGGCCGGGUAAGUCGGUUGUGAAAUCCCUCGGCUCAACCGGGGAAUUGCUGCCGAUACUGUCUGGCUUGAGGCUGUGAGGGGUGAGCGGAAUUCCAGGUGUAGCGGUGAAAUGCGUAGAUAUCUGGGAGAACGCCGGCGGCGAAGGCGGCUCACUGGCGCAGUCCUGACGCUGAGGCACGAAAGCGUGGGGAGCAAACAGGAUUAGAUACCCUGGUAGUCCACGCCGUAAACGAUGGGCACUUUGUAGAGGGAGGAGUCGAUCCUUUCUCUGCCGGAGCAAAUGCGUUAAGUGCCCCGCCUGGGGAGUAUGGUCGCAAGGCUAAAACUCAAAGGAAUUGACGGGGGCUCACACAAGCGGUGGAGGAUGUUGUUCAAUUCGAAGCAACGCGAAGAACCUUACCUGGGCUUGACAUGCAGGGAUUAACCUUGUGAAAGCAAGGGGAUUGUCAUUCAUGGCGUAACCUGCACAGGUGCUGCAUGGCUGUCGUCAGCUCGUGUCGUGAGAUGUCGGGUUAAGUCCCAUAACGAGCGAAACCCUUUUCGUCAGUUGCCAGCGGUCCGGCCGGGCACUCUGGCGAUACUGCCGGUGUCAAACCGGAGGAAGGCGGGGACGACGUCAAGUCAUCAUGGCCCUUACGUCCAGGGCGACAAACGUCCUACAAUGGCCGGUACAAAGGGAAGCAAUACCGCGAGGUGGAGCAAAUCCCCAAAGCCGGCCCUAGUUCGGAUUGGAGGCUGCAAUUCGCCUCCAUGAAGCUGGAAUCGCUAGUAACCGGAGAUCAGCCAUGCUCCGGUGAAUGUGUUCCUGAGCAUUGUACACACCGCCCGUCAAGCCACCCAAGUCGGGGGUACCCGAAGUCCGGCGCCAAUAGACCGGCCGAAGGUAAUCCGAUGAGGGGGACUAAGUCGUAA
rnacentral:rRNA from 1 species